rnacentral:lncRNA from 1 species
CAUCUCGACCCUCAUCUCAGCAAUUUGUUACAUUAACUGCAGGAUCAGUUCAUUUUGAUCGGCAAGGACGGGCUGAGCUACCACGACAUCAGUAAGGUCAAUUUCUUCGUUGUUAUCACCCAUUGCUGCUUUUCCUUUUUGGGAACUUUGGCUGGGAAAGGAAUCUGUAGGCCCUUUUGAUCUGGUGAAAUAAGGAUGAUCGGCCAGUGUAUCAACACAGAUCAGUUCUAACUACCUGU